rnacentral:lncRNA from 1 species
CUUGGGAGAGAGGCGGGGCACGCGCGGUGGGCAGGCGGAUCCGCGCGGGCAGGAAACCCACUCUGGACCCAAUCUGAUAGGUUCAGUCGCCCCCUUCCCCGGUCCCUGACGCGACAACGGUCUCUGCCGCACUGGGAUUGGGCGGGCCCACAUGUCAAUCAAGCCCCCUGCGUGAUGUGGAGGGAGCGGAGGCUGCGCGGCGGAGAGUAGAGAGCUAGAGGGUGAGAAGCGCUGGGCCGGACCAGAACUGUCUUCGCUUUUCCCUCUGCGGCUGCUCUGGUUGGUUACUUUGAGCCUUCCUCCUCAGCGCCGCAGGAGAGACUUAACAGCAAAAAUGACUGUGUCCUGAGUUCAGCCCCCACUGCUCUGGGAGCUUCCCCCUGGUUUCUGCACCUGAAGAAUGUCAUCCCAGCCGAAGGUUCUUAGGAGCGGGGAGCGACAAAGAAAAACAAAGAAAAGCAGACCUGAAAAUUGGGACCUGGGAGAAAUGGGAACUCAAACCAAAAACAGGAAUCAUCCUUGCUAAUUAGUGCUGAGUGGAUCAGGGACUAACCAGAAUCAGGCAACAAGAAAAUGUAAGUCAAAACUUAUGAUCAGCCCUGGCAACAGAGCUAGACCCUGUCUCUACAAAACAAAAUUUUUUUUAAUCAGCUGGGCAUAGUGGCAUGUGCCUGUAGUCCCAGCCACUCUGGAGGCUGAGGUGGGAGGAUGGCUUGAGCCCAGGAAUUUGAGGCUGCAAUGAGCUAUGAUCACACCACAUCUCAAAACAAAAACAAAACUUAUCUAGGGACUACACGUGGAGCUUUGGAUAUGGGCAGCUAAUCUGUCUACGAUUAAAAACACACAGGUGGCUUACUUUAUUAAUCCAAAAUAAAAGAAUUUGGGAACACAAGAAAGGGAAAAAUGAGCCUCCAUGUCAAGACCUUUCCCAGAAA